GGCAAGAUGGCCGAGCGGUCCAAGGCGCUGCGUUCAGGUCGCAGUCCACUACUGUGGGCGUGGGUUCGAAUCCCACUCUUGUCA
rfam:Trichuris suis scaffold137.5, whole genome shotgun sequence.